rnacentral:misc_RNA from 1 species
GAUGAAGAACGUAGCGAAAUGCGAUAAGUAAUGUGAAUUGCAGAAUUCAGUGAAUCAUCGAAUCUUUGAACGCACAUUGCGCCCCCUGGUAUUCCGGGGGGCAUGCCUGUUCGAGCGUCAUUUCACCACUCAAGCCUCGCUUGGUAUUGGGCAACGCGGUCCGCCGCCUGCCUCAAAUCGACCGGCUGGGUCUUCUGUCCCCUAAGCGUUGUGGAAACUAUUCGCUAAAGGGUGUUCGGGAGGCUACGCCGUAAAACAACCCCAUUUCUAAGGUUGACCUCGGAUCAGGUAGGGAUACCCGCUGAACUUAAGCAUAUCAAUAAGCGGAGGA